GACGAACGCUGGCGGCGUGCCUAAUACAUGCAAGUUGAGCGCUGAAGGUUGGUACUUGUACCAACUGGAUGAGCAGCGAACGGGUGAGUAACGCGUGGGGAAUCUGCCUUUGAGCGGGGGACAACAUUUGGAAACGAAUGCUAAUACCGCAUAAAAACUUUAAACACAAGUUUUAAGUUUGAAAGAUGCAAUUGCAUCACUCAAAGAUGAUCCCGCGUUGUAUUAGCUAGUUGGUGGGGUAAAGGCUCACCAAGGCGAUGAUACAUAGCCGACCUGAGAGGGUGAUCGGCCACAUUGGGACUGAGACACGGCCCAAACUCCUACGGGAGGCAGCAGUAGGGAAUCUUCGGCAAUGGACGAAAGUCUGACCGAGCAACGCCGCGUGAGUGAAGAAGGUUGUCGGAUCGUAAAACUCUGUUGGUAGAGAAGAACGUUGGUGAGAGUGGAAAGCUCAUCAAGUGACGGUAACUACCCAGAAAGGGACGGCUAACUACGUG
rnacentral:rRNA from 1 species